GGAGAGUGAAAAGGAUUUUAGAGAAAAAAUAAAGAUUUUGGAGAGAUAGACUGUCAGUUUGGAGAAGAGGGUUUGAGGCUAGGGUAAGCUUGAUCCACCCAAAUGAAGAAGAAAAAGAAAAGAGAUUUCGUUCCUAAAAAGACGAUUUGAAGGGAAAAACCAGGUGGGAAGAAGAAUUUUAAGAGAAUUUUUGUGGCUA
rnacentral:lncRNA from 1 species